rnacentral:tRNA from 1 species
AGUGUGGUAUAAUGGGUAGGCAACUGGUCUUGCAACCUAAAGGUCACAGGUUCGAUUCCUGGGUACACUA